rnacentral:rRNA from 1 species
UGAGAAACGGCUACUACAUCCAAGGAAGGCAGCAGGCGCGCAAAUUACCCAAUCCCGACACGGGGAGGUAGUGACGAUAAAUACUGAUACAGGGCUCUUUUGGGUCUUGUAAUUGGAAUGAGUACAAUUUAAAUCCCUUAACGAGGAACAAUUGGAGGGCAAGUCUGGUGCCAGCAGCCGCGGUAAUUCCAGCUCCAAUAGCGUAUAUUAAAGUUGUUGCGGUUAAAAAGCUCGUAGUUGAACCUUGGGCCCGGCCUGCCGGUCCGCCUCACCGCGUGCACUGGUCUGGCUGGGCCUUCUCCGCUGGGGAACCGCAUGCCCUUCAGUGGGCGUGCCGGGGAACCAGGACUUUUACUUUGAAAAAAUUAGAGUGUUCAAAGCAGGCCUAUGCUCGGAUACAUUAGCAUGGAAUAAUGAAAUAGGACGGCAGUUCUAUUUCGUUGGUUUCUAGGACCGCCGUAAUGAUUAAUAGGGACAGUCGGGGGCGUCAGUAUUCAAUUGUCAGAGGUGAAAUUCUUGGAUUUAUUGAAGACUAACUACUGCGAAAGCAUUCGCCAAGGAUGUUUUCAUUAAUCAGGAACGAAAGUUAGGGGAUCGAAGACGAUCAGAUACCGUCGUAGUCUUAACCAUAAACUAUGCGAACUAGGGAUCGGACGGUGUUAUUUUUUGACCCGUUCGGCACCUUAGACGAAAGUAAAGUUUCUGCGUUCCGGGGGGAGUAUGGUCGCAAGACUGAAACUUAAA